AAGCGGCAACAGCUCAAAUUUGAAAUCUGGCUCUUUUAGAGUCCGAGUUGUAAUUUGCAGAGGGCGCUUUGGCUUUGGCAGCGGUCCAAGUUCCUUGGAACAGGACGUCACAGAGGGUGAGAAUCCCGUACGUGGUCGCUGGCUAUUGCCGUGUAAAGCCCCUUCGACGAGUCGAGUUGUUUGGGAAUGCAGCUCUAAAUGGGAGGUACAUUUCUUCUAAAGCUAAAUAUUGGCCAGAGACCGAUAGCGCACAAGUAGAGUGAUCGAAAGAUGAAAAGCACUUUGGAAAGAGAGUCAAACAGCACGUGAAAUUGUUGAAAGGGAAGCGCUUGCAGCCAGACUUGCUUACAGUUGCUCAUCCGGGUUUUUACCCGGUGCACUCUUCUGUAGGCAGGCCAGCAUCAGUUUGGGCGGUAGGAUAAAGGUCUCUGUCACGUACCUCCUUUCGGGGAGGCCUUAUAGGGGAGACGACAUACUACCAGCCUGGACUGAGGUCCG
rnacentral:rRNA from 1 species